GUGCUUGCUUUGGCAGCACAUAUUCUGAGAAGAUUAGCAUGGCCCCUGCACAAGGAUGACUCACAAUUUCAUGUAGCAUUCCAUAAAUUA
rnacentral:snRNA from 1 species